CCUACGGGAGGCAGCAGUGAGGAAUAUUGGACAAUGGGCGCAAGCCUGAUCCAGCCAUGCCGCGUGGGUGAUGAAGGCCUUAGGGUUGUAAAACUCUUUUAGUAGGGAAAAUAAUGAUGGUACCUACAGAAAAAGCUCCGGCUAACUUCGUGCCAGCAGCCGCGGUAAU
rnacentral:rRNA from 1 species